GUGCCAGCAGCCGCGGUAAUACGGAGGAUGCAAGCGUUAUCCGGAUUCAUUGGGUUUAAAGGGUGCGUAGGCGGGCUAUUAAGUCAGUGGUGAAAUCCUGCAGCUUAACUGCAGAACUGCCGUUGAUACUGAUAGUCUUGAGUUUGGUUAAGGUAGGCGGAAUGUGUAAUGUAGCGGUGAAAUGCUUAGAUAUUACACAGAACACCAAUUGCGUAGGCAGCUUACUGAGCCGACACUGACGCUGAGGCACGAAAGCGUGGGGAUCAAACAGGAUUAGAUACCCUGGUAGUCCACGCCGUAAACGAUGAUUACUCGCUGUUGGCGAUACACUGUCAGCGGCUAAGCAAAAGCAAUAAGUAAUCCACCUGGGGAGUACGGCCGCAAGGUUGAAACUCAAAGAAAUUGACGG
rnacentral:rRNA from 1 species